UGAACGAAGAGUUUGAUCCUGGCUCAGGAUGAACGCUGACAGAAUGCUUAACACAUGCAAGUCUACUUGAUCCUUCGGGUGAUGGUGGCGGACGGGUGAGUAACGCGUAAAGAACUUGCCCUGCAGUCUGGGACAACAUUUGGAAACGAAUGCUAAUACCGG
rnacentral:ncRNA from 1 species